AGGGACGCCCCCACAGGUAGACGAAGAGGGUCCAGAGAAAGGUGGGGAUUCCCUAACCCCUUCUUUCUUGGCACAGACAGGCAGAGAACACCUCUUUUCUCACCCCUGGGCAGCCCCAGGAAGUCAAUCCUUCCACUAUUCCUGCUCCGUGCCUCUCUUCCCUCUGCCCAGAUUCCUGGGAGACUCAAAACCCUGUUCAACUCUCUCUGGGCUAGCUGCUCCCCUCCCCAAGAGGAUUUCUCUCCAGAGCUGGUAUCAUCGCUUAAUGAUGUUCCACCAACAAGGGGAAGAUUCAGCCAUGUCUUCCUAGGAUCCAGCAUCCAAACCUGGACCAAAGUCCUCGGAUCCUCAGCAAUGGGGGUGCAUCUGGUGAUGGUGUUCAUGCUAAAUUUGUGCCAAGAGACACCUGUACUUGUGGGAGAAUUAAUAUUUCACUUCUGUUUAGGUUUCUUUUCUGGGAGCUGCUAUCACUGAAUACAUAAAGAAAUUGAGCCUAUAUGAUUUCAAUCUUCACCUUCUGAUGCUGAUGAAACAGGAUUCUAUGCAGUUUUCCACAGGGAGAAGCAGCAGGCUGAAGUGGCUCUUUAGGGAGACACAUACCUCCACAGGAAGAGCAGUCUAGAUUGUUUUAGCACAUUCCACUUAAGGAUUGCAGUGUGACAGCAGAGAAAAUCCUCUCCAGUCAAGUAAUUGCAUCCAUUUCAUCUUCCCAGCCCUCCUCUAGAUGGGAGGUGGAGGACAGUGGGGACCCCAGCCAGAGCCUGGGGACUUGGCUGCCUUGGAACCAGAACCUGGCCCCUCAGAGGAGUUGCAGAAUUUCGAUAGAGGAGUGGCAGGAGGUGUACUGGCUGAAGAGGAGGCCCAAGGAACUCCUUUUCAUACAUCAAAACUGAGCUUAUCACCUCUACCCUGAAGUCAUCCUGGACAUCACUGGUCCCAGUUAAUCACUCACUUAUCUUUGCCAUCCUUGACCUGGGAAGAGAACGUUGCCCUCAUUGGUCUGGAAUCAGCAGGUACCUCAUGGCUGGAGGUGUAUUUUCAGGUGGGUUGGGACUUUGAAGAGGUGGCUUUUCCUAUGGACCCCUCUGACUCCCCACCUGUGGGCAUGACACAGGUGACCUGGCUGCCAGGGCAGAGGCUGCUUAGCCCUGCUCCAGAGAAACAGAGCUCUGAGGGCUUCCAGAAACCAGGGCUCCUGGCUCCUCAGUCCUUCCCACUCCUCUCUUCCUACUCCCGUGCUGCAUAUAAACUUUUCUUUUUUUUUCAGAUGGAGUCUCACUCUGUCACUCAGGCUGGAGUGCAGUGGUGCGAUCUCAGCUUACUGCAACCUCCGCCUCCCGGGUUCAAGUGAUUCUCCUGCCUCAGCUUCCCCAGUAGCAGGGACUACAGGACCACAGGUUACAGGCAUGAGCCACUGCACUUGGCCUGCAUAUAAACUUUUUGAGUUUCCUGCUUUUGACAUGAGCAUGGAUAUUUAUCACUUCUAGAGGCAUUAGGAGAACUCAAGUCCAAGUGCUCAGAGACCUACAGUGCAGCUUAAGACCCUGUCACAGGAAUCUUCGGGGUGGGGGCAUGCACGGGAGUUAUAGAGAGUUGGGGAAGGAUGAGUUCUCAACCAAUGCUUUCCUUUUUUCCACAGACUCCUUUGGCAUCUGGUGAGGCCUGUGGAUUCAUUCUCAGAAUCACAUUUUUAAAUGCACAUAAUAAAAUACAUAGAAUUGCAAAGGAAGUUAAUUAUAUUGAAAUACAGUUAUCAAAAAUAUAAAUAAAACAAGUAUGUGGUACAGUCAUAUGUGUGCUUCUUUAUUAAGUCAUUACAAAGCAAGAUCUAUUUGGAGGUCUAAUAACUGUCAUAUGCUUGAAAAAAUCCUUAACAAUCAUAAUAUAUUAAAAAAUCUGAUUUCUACUUUGGCAAAUCAUAGAUAUUGCUGAAACUGUGGUUUAUUGCCUGCAUUCAUAAUUGAAGGAAAUGCUAGAGUUCAGUGAGAAGGUUGUGAAAAUAAAGAGAGCCUUUUUUUCUCAUCAAG
rnacentral:lncRNA from 10 species